rnacentral:sRNA from 1 species
AUCUAAAGCUAAAGGGCUCUAGGCAGCCGAUAUUCGGCGGUGUGCGAAACGUCACAUCGCCAGGGGGGGCGGGCGUCUACCAACGACUUGUCUGCUCUUGUGGGAGUCGGACCGGUGGGGCGAUGGGCUCCGCGUGCAACGGCCGUCAGAGCUGAAGACGCGAACCGAUCGGGGGCGGGCGGUGGAGACCUGAAGGGGUUCCGCCGUCCUCUUC